rnacentral:rRNA from 1 species
GAUGAACGCUGGCGGCGUGCCUAAUACAUGCAAGUCGAGCGAACAGACGAGGAGCUUGCUCCUCUGACGUUAGCGGCGGACGGGUGAGUAACACGUGGAUAACCUACCUAUAAGACUGGGAUAACUUCGGGAAACCGGAGCUAAUACCGGAUAAUAUAUUGAACCGCAUGGUUCAAUAGUGAAAGACGGUUUUGCUGUCACUUAUAGAUGGAUCCGCGCCGCAUUAGCUAGUUGGUAAGGUAACGGCUUACCAAGGCAACGAUGCGUAGCCGACCUGAGAGGGUGAUCGGCCACACUGGAACUGAGACACGGUCCAGACUCCUACGGGAGGCAGCAGUAGGGAAUCUUCGGCAAUGGGCGAAAGCCUGACGGAGCAACGCCGCGUGAUUGAUGAAGGUCUUCGGAUCGUAAAACUCUGUUAUUAGGGAAGAACAAAUGUGUAAGUAACUAUGCACGUCUUGACGGUACCUAAUCAGAAAGCCACGGCUAACUACGUG